rnacentral:rRNA from 1 species
AUUAGCUGGUUGGUGAGGUAACGGCCCACCAAGGCGACGAUCGGUAGCCGGACUGAGAGGUUGAACGGCCACAUUGGGACUGAGACACGGCCCAGACUCCUACGGGAGGCAGCAGUGGGGAAUAUUGCACAAUGGGGGAAACCCUGAUGCAGCGACGCCGCGUGGAGGAAGAAGGUCUUCGGAUUGUAAACUCCUGUUGUUGGGGAAGAUAAUGACGGUACCCAACAAGGAAGUGAUGGCUAACUACGUGCCAGCAGCCGCGGUAAAACGUAGGUCACAAGCGUUGUCCGGAAUUACUGGGUGUAAAGGGAGCGCAGGCGGGAAGACAAGUUGGAAGUGAAAUCUAUGGGCUCAACCCAUAAACUGCUUUCAAAACUGUUUUUCUUGAGUAGUGCAGAGGUAGGCGGAAUUCCCGGUGUAGCGGUGGAAUGCGUAGAUAUCGGGAGGAACACCAGUGGCGAAGGCGGCCUACUGGGCACCAACUGACGCUGAGGCUCGAAAGUGUGGGUAGCAAACAGGAUUAGAUACCCUGGUAGUCCACACCGUAAACGAUGAUUACUAGGUGUUGGAGGAUUGACCCCUUCAGUGCC